rnacentral:piRNA from 1 species
CAAGAGUGAGGUGGCCCUUAAGGGGU